GUUCAUUUACUCUUUCUGUUGCACAACCUUCAUUUAUAUCCACAAACCCAUGGAGAAACAUGUUCCUUUCCAACAUUCUUUUGACUAAAGCACAGACAACUUUUAUAUUGUUGGCUUUUGCAUCUGCAACAAGGUUUCGCAACCUCUUCAAUUCUCCUAGAAAUUGAUAUAUCUUGAAAG